CGUGACGAUUGUCGAUGGUCUCUGGGUGGUCGGCUACGGCGGCAGCAGUGGCCACGGACCGUCGCUCGCGCGCUCUCUCGUGUCGUGCGUGUUCUUCUCAGUACCGGUACCCGAAUCGACCGCGGUAUAUUCGACUGGUAUCGGCGGGGAUGGAAGCCGAGGACAGCCGGGGUUCCAGUGCGGUCGCGCGCCGACGACCACGAGUGGCGACGGCCGUACGGGUGUACGACACCACCGGACCCGCGUAGACGCGUAUUGACCAGUGUCAGUGUGCCAGCAACGUUUGUUGGGUUCGUUCGUGGCUUUCCUGCGGUGCUUGCUUAUUCGGUGUUUACGCGGUCUUUUCCGCGUUCACGAAUAUUUAUCCAUCGAUCGUCGUACCGUAUAUCAACAAUAAUAUUACCAUCAUUAUCGCCGCGUGUCCAAUAAUAAUCGUUAUUAUAAUGGUUACGGGAAUUUUUUUUUAAAAACAUUACCGUUACACGUAACUGUGUUUUUGACGACGAUUGUCGUCGUCGUCGUCGCGAAAAUGUCCGUUUUUCCGCCGCCGCUGCUGCUGUUGGCGAUUUCCGCGAUCGUCAUCCACGGCGGAUCGGCCGCGUACUGCGACGAACAUUUGUUCCAGAAACACGAAGGUCUUCAGUUUACCAAGGAGCUGAGCGGCACCGAGUACGGGCCCCUGAGUUCGUUCAAAACGCUCCACUGUUGUGGCGAGAAGUACCUCAGUCUCGAAUGGUAAGAGCGUUUUUCGCGAUAUUCUAUAAUAUGGUAU